rnacentral:rRNA from 1 species
ACCGUGGUAAUUCUAGAGCUAAUACAUGCUAAAAACCUCGACUUCGGAAGGGGUGUAUUUAUUAGAUUAAAAACCAAUGCCCUUCGGGGCUUCUUGGUGAUUCAUAAUAACUUAACGAAUCGCAUGGCCUUGCGCCGGCGAUGGUUCAUUCAAAUUUCUGCCCUAUCAACUUUCGAUGGUAGAGUAGUGGUCUACCAUGGUGUCGACGGGUAACGGGGAAUUAGGGUUCGAUUCCGGAGAGGGAGCCUGAGAAACGGCUACCACAUCCAAGGAAGGCAGCAGGCGCGCAAAUUACCCAAUCCCGAUACGGGGAGGUAGUGACAAUAAAUACUGAUGCAGAGCUCUUUUGGGUUUUGCAAUUGGAAUGAGUACAAUCUAAAUCCCUUAACGAGGAACAAUUGGAGGGCAAGUCUGGUGCCAGCAGCCGCGGUAAUUCCAGCUCCAAUAGCGUAUAUUAAAGUUGUUGCGGUUAAAAAGCUCGUAGUUGAACCUUGGGUCUGGCUGGCCGGUCCGCCUCACCGCGUGUACUGGUCCGGCCGGAUCUUUCCUUCUGGGGAGCCCGAUGUCCUUCACUGGGUGUCGUGGGGAACCAGGACUUUUACUUUGAAAAAAUUAGAGUGUUCAAAGCAGGCCUAUGCUCGAAUACAUUAGCAUGGAAUAAUAGAAUAGGACGUUGGUUCUAUUUUGUUGGUUUCUAGGACCGCCGUAAUGAUUAAUAGGGAUAGUCGGGGGCAUCAGUAUUGAAUUGUCAGAGGUGAAAUUCUUGGAUUUAUUCAAGACUAACUACUGCGAAAGCAUUUGCCAAGGAUGUUUUCAUUAAUCAGUGAACGAAAGUUAGGGGAUCGAAGACGAUCAGAUACCGUCGUAGUCUUAACCAUAAACUAUGCCAGCUAGGGAUCGGUGGGUGUUUUAUUUUUGACCCCAUCGGCACCUUGUGAGAAAUCAAAGCGUUUGGGUUCCGGGGGGAGUACGGUCGCAAGAUUGAAACUUAAAGCAAUUGGCGGAAGGGCACCACAAGGCGUGGAGCCUGCGGCUUAAUUUGACUCAACACGGGGAAACUCACCAGGUCCAGACAAAAUAAGGAUUGACAGAUUGAGAGCUCUUUCUUGAUUUUUUGGGUGGUGGUGCAUGGCCGUUUUUAGUUGGUGGAGUGAUUUGUCUGCUUAAUU